rnacentral:rRNA from 1 species
GACAGAGGGUGCAAACGUUGUUCGGAAUUACUGGGCGUAAAGCGCGUGUAGGCGGCCCUGCAAGUCGGGUGUGAAAUCCCACGGCUCAACCGUGGAAGUGCACUCGAAACUGCAGGGCUAGAGUCCUGGAGAGGAAGGUGGAAUGCUUGGUGUAGAGGUGAAAUUCGUAGAUAUCAAGCGGAACACCGGUGGCGAAGGCGGCUCACUGGCCCGAUACUGACGCUGAGGCACGAAAGCGUGGGGAGCAAACAGGG